rnacentral:rRNA from 1 species
UACGUAGGGUGCGAGCGUUAAUCGGAAUUACUGGGCGUAAAGCGUGCGCAGGCGGUAAGUUAAGUCUGAUGUGAAAGCCCCGGGCUCAACCUGGGAAUGGCAUUGGAAACUGGCUUGCUAGAGUGUGGCAGAGGGGGGUGGAAUUCCGCGUGUAGCAGUGAAAUGCGUAGAGAUGCGGAGGAACACCGAUGGCGAAGGCAGCCCCCUGGGCUAACACUGACGCUGAGGCACGAAAGCGUGGGGAGCAAACAGG